UACGUAGGGGGCAAGCGUUGUCCGGAGUUACUGGGCGUAAAGCGCACGCAGGCGGUCUCUUAAGUUUGGAGCGACAGUUGGUGGCUUAACUGCCAAAGUGCUUCGAAAACUGAGAGACUUGAGGGCUUCAGAGGGACACGGAAUUCCGGGUGGAGUGGUGAAAUGCGUAGAGAUCCGGAGGAACACCAAAGGCGAAGGCAGUGUCCUGGGGAGUACCUGACGCUCAGGUGCGAAAGCCAGGGAGCGAACGGG
rnacentral:rRNA from 1 species